GUCAGGAUGGCCGAGCGGUCUAAGGCGGCAGACUCAAGUUCUGCUCCUCUUGUGAGGGCGUGGGUUCAAAUCCCACUUCUGACA
rfam:Selaginella moellendorffii unplaced genomic scaffold SELMOscaffold_49, whole genome shotgun sequence.